CGCGCUCUUGUUUUGCAUCUUCUCAUUUUAUCGAUGCCUCAUCAACUAUGUGACAUACAGAUGCUUUUGCUAUGACUGCUGUGGGCCCAGAAGGAAGUGGCCCUCAUUAUCUGCAGAUUCUGUAUCCAUGGUUUCGCGUAUGCUCGAUUGGGUCUUCGAGACCAAUUUUCAUUAUCUACUGGGAUGGCUGAACUGGAGCCCUUUGCCACUUUUGUCACUGCAGUGUUUUGAGAAGCUGUAAUUAAAUGAGAAAAGUUGAUCUGAGCACAUGGCAUGGUGGCAGCACUUGGCAUUAAAGUUGCCACCAAACUACCGAAUGCAAAAUUUUGAGCAAGUUGGGGAUUUCCUGCUCUGCUGAAUGCAUCUGAAGAACUUCAAGGGAACAAAAACAUUGUUGAGAUAAAACAGAAAAAGUUCUAUGGAUUUUUUUAAAGCUCAGUUUAUGACAGCUGCUGUAAUUUCAAUUUGUCAUGUAAGUACACCAUUCUCCAGUCCAUUUCUUUAUGCUUUGGUCCACAAGCUCUUUCUACAGUACAUACAACAAUGUACUCCCAAUAAUACUGAUACUCUAGAUGUUCCUGUAGAAUCUCAUACUGAUACUCCACCAUAUUCUCGGGUGUUAAAAUGAGGGGUCAAUUUUGGACAGGCCUGAACAAAAGCCUAAGGCUUUUUUCACUUUACUGGUGGCUGCCAUGUUUUUGGUUAUUUUAAAAUUAGAAUUCACUUUAAAAUGAUAAAUGUCAUUACUAAUGCUGCCUGUAGAGACUUUGAGGGAUGUACACGGAACUGGCAGGGGCAGCAGCUUGAAG